rnacentral:rRNA from 1 species
AGUGAACGCUGGCGGUAGGCCUAACACAUGCAAGUCGAACGGCAGCACAGUAAGAGCUUGCUCUUACGGGUGGCGAGUGGCGGACGGGUGAGGAAUACAUCGGAAUCUACUUUUUCGUGGGGGAUAACGUAGGGAAACUUACGCUAAUACCGCAUACGACCUACGGGUGAAAGCAGGGGAUCUUCGGACCUUGCGCGAUUGAAUGAGCCGAUGUCGGAUUAGCUAGUUGGCGGGGAAAGGCCCACCAAGGCGACGAUCCGUAGCUGGUCUGAGAGGAUGAUCAGCCACACUGGAACUGAGACACGGUCCAGACUCCUACGGGAGGCAGCAGUGGGGAAUAUUGGACAAUGGGCGCAAGCCUGAUCCAGCCAUACCGCGUGGGUGAAGAAGGCCUUCGGGUUGUAAAGCCCUUUUGUUGGGAAAGAAAAGCAGCAGGUUAAUACCCCGCUGUUCUGACGGUACCCAAAGAAUAAGCACCGGCUAACUUCGU